CCUACGGGUGGCAGCAGUGAGGAAUAUUGGUCAAUGGGCGUAAGCCUGAACCAGCCAAGUCGCGUGAGGGAUGAAGGUUCUAUGGAUCGUAAACCUCUUUUAUAAGGGAAUAAAGUGUUGGUAGUGUCCUAUUUUGUAUGUACCUUAUGAAUAAGGAUCGGCUAACUCCGUGCCAGCAGCCGAGGUAAUACGGAGGAUCCGAGCGUUAUCCGGAUUUAUUGGGUUUAAAGGGUGCGUAGGCGGCCUUUUAAGUUAGCGGUGAAAGUCUGUGGCUCAACCAUAGAAUUGCCGUUGAAACUGGGGGGCUUGAGUAUGUUUGAGGCAGGCGGAAUGCGUGGUGUAGGGGUGAAAGGCUUAGAUAUCACGCAGAACCCCGAUUGCGAAGGCAGCCUGCCAAGCCAUGACUGACGCUGAUGCACGAAAGCGUGGGGAUCAAACAGGAUUAGAUACCCUUGUAGUC
rnacentral:rRNA from 1 species